rnacentral:rRNA from 1 species
UACGGAGGGGGCGAGCGUUAUUCGGAAUCACUGGGCGUAAAGCGCACGUAGGCGGAUUGCUAAGUCAGGGGUGAAAUCCUGGAGCUCAACUCCAGAACUGCCUCGAUACUGGAAAGCUCGAGUCCGGGAGAGGUGAGUGGAACUGCGAGUGUAGAGGUGAAAUUCGUAGAUAUUCGCAAAGAACACCAGUGGCGAAGGCGGCUCACUGGCCCGGUACUGACGCUGAGGUGCGAAAAGCGUGGG